AAUACCGAUAACACUUACCGAGUCAAAGCAGCAAUGCGCUUGGGGAGGAGGUCGCGGCCGAUUAGCUAGUUGGGGGGUAAUGGCCCACCAAGGCGAUGAUCGGAAUCCGGCCUGAGAGGGCGCACGGACACACCGGAACUGAGACACGGUCCGGACUCCUACGGGAGGCAGCAGUGGGGAACUAUUGGACAAUGGGGGAAACCCUGAUCCAGGACGCCGCGUGUGUGAAGAAGGCCUGCGGGUUGAAAGCACUUUAGUGGGGACAAAAAGCUACGGAUUAAUACUCUGUGGUCUGGAUUUAACCCAAAGAAAAAGCACCGGCUAACUCUGUGCCAGCAGCCGCGGUAAUACAGAGGGUGCGAGCGUUAAUCGGAAUUACUGGGCGUAAAGCGCGCGUAACCGGUUUUGUAACGUCACGACUGUGAAAUCCCCGGGCUUAACCUGGGAACU
rnacentral:rRNA from 1 species